rnacentral:rRNA from 1 species
AUGGACGCCGACGUUGAGAACCAGGAGGUCAUGGCCGACGGAGACCCGGAGGCCGAGGAGAGGAAGCGCAACGCCCGGAUGUGGUGCGAGGCCGUGCUCUUCACCGUCCCGGUCACCAUCCUCCUUGUCACCUGGUUCGUGCUCGGCUCGCCGCGGCCGCGUUACUACAUCACGAUCCGCUCCGUCUCCGGCCUCGACGCCCCUGCGGCGGCGGCGCUCGGGGUGGUCGACCCGACGUUCAACCUUACCCUCGGCGUGGCCUCGAGGAACUACGAAGAGAGCGCCUGUGUGGACCAAGACACGUUCGUGGAGGUGGCCUACCGCGGUGUCCCACUCGCCAGUGCCACGGUAGGGCGGCUCUGCGCCGGGCCACGGAUGGCGACUGAACGGCCUGUGGUAGCCAGGGGGGAGGCGGUGCAUGUUCCGGAGACUGUGAUGGAUGCCCUAGUGGAGGAGAUGAGGCAAGGGGCGGCGGUGUUCGACGUCGCGCUCAAGCUCCCGGGGGAGAUCGAUGGGAGGAGGUUGGGGAGGAGGUGCCGUGUUCGGGCCGCCGCCACUGCCGCUGCCAUGUGCACUAGUGAUCUCUAUUGGAUGGACCUCUAG